AAGAGCUGAUUCACCAAGGUUGUCUAUUAUGUGAGGGCACUUGUCAACUCUAUGACUUGUCGAGACAAGUGUUGCUCAUCAUUUGGGUUGGAAGAGCUCAGACGGUAUGCAUCUCAUUGAGUAGUGGAAGUGUAAUAGACUCUGGGCAUGAGAUUUGAGUUGGGAUAUGUUAAAUUUGCGGAGAAAUGGGGUGAAAAUACUUCUGGUUUAAUCGUCGGUCCAGAAAUCUGAAGGCGGGACGGUUAAACCGAUCUUGGACUGGUUUGGGCUACUAGAAGGGCCAUGAGUUGGAUCGCGAUAGCAGGUCUGGUCAUCGGAGUGGGUCAGACCACUAGCAUGGGCUAUCCCGCGUGCGAUGCUCGAGGGCGUUAGGCCUCGGCUUGGCUUGGUAAUGCGCUGGCCUUGGGCUCACGAGCGUAGGGCUGCUUCUUCUGUCCCAGCUUCGUAGGCUUGCAUUGCUGAGGUAGUGACUCGGG
rnacentral:lncRNA from 1 species